GUGCUCCAACAUUAAGGAGCCUAAUGCUGAUGACGAGUAUCUUGCUGCUUCAGAAACACUACUAGUCUAGCAAAUUCUAUGGUUGACCUAAGGUCGGGUAGGCACUAUUGCCCCUCUGGUAGCAACUUGGCGUUAUGCAAGGGUGCUUCUGCGAAAACAGACUGAAAUGAUUUGGGCUGAAAAUCUCUUGCCUUGAGCAAAAACUAUACCAGCUGGAAAAGGAAGUGCUGAAGAAACAACAGAAAGAAGGUGGGUAGGUACGAAGAGUGUGAUCGGAUCUAUUUUAUACUGGAGGAAACACUCAGAGAAGGAACGAAGGAUACCUCCCUAAACCCUCUGAUGGCUUAGAACCGCACCGUAGAUCAGAAACUGCGGGCUUGGGCCCACCGUGACGAUGGGUAACUCGGGAGCGGCAGGAUGGGGAUGGGAGAAGCCGAGGUGACUGGGGCCACCUGACGGGCCUGGGGCGCUGCUGGGCCCCGCAGGCACCUGGACUGCACAGCUCGCGCCUUCCCCGCCACCUUCCAUCCGCACGCCGCGCCCCGGGGCUCUGCGCCCCGCUCGCCCCUAGCCCGCUCUCCCCGGGCCGUGUCACUCACUCACGGUCUGGGACACCUUCACCUCCUGGUUGAGCCACUGGCACAGAAUCUCCGACAUGGUUCGGCCUGCGCCUUCUACAAGACACAGCGAUAGAAGGAACACAAACAGCGAGAAUGGGAGAGGGAGAAGCAGGCUCCCCACCGAGCAGGGAGCCCGAUGCGGGGCUCGAUCCCAGAACCCUAGGAUCAUGACCUGAGCCAAGGCAGACGCUUAACGACUGAGCCACCCAAGCGCCCCAAAUUAUGAUUCUUUUAGACUGUAUGCUCAAUAACAGUGAUAACCUACUAGAAUAAAUGUCUCUUAAGAUUGAUCUGAAAUUGAUCCAUGUGUCCUGAUUGGCUAAAAGUUUAAUACCAUUUCACUUUACUUUAACUUUUAGAUCUCCCAUCCCAUGAGUUUCCUCACACCCAACACAGCAGACAUGACUGCGAUGGAACAAUGGAAAUUCUGAGGGAGAUUUAUUACCAACAGAACUGGAGCCUGAUACACUUGAUACGUCUCACCUUAGAGUUGUCCAAAUUUGGAAGAUCAAAUGAUUGUAAAAGUCUUUAUAGCAACGGGAAUAUAUCUAAUAAAGUUUUAUCUGUUGGAAACAUGUCAUCUCUGAAAAGAUUUCUAGCAAUGUCUGCAAUAGCCAAACUGUGGAAAGAGCCGAGAUGCCCUUCAGCAGAUGAACGGAUAAAGAAGAUGUGGUCCAUAUAUACAAUGGAGUAUUACUCAGCCAUCAGAAAGGAUGAAUGCC